GCUCGCUUCAGCAAAACAUAUACUAAAAUUGGAACGAUACAGAGAAAAUUAACAUGGCCCCUGCACACGAAGCGUUCCAUAAUAAAUAAAGUUGUAAAACAAAAAU